AGAACGAACGCUGGCGGCAGGCUUAACACAUGCAAGUCGAACGCGUGUAGCAAUACACGAGUGGCGCACGGGUGAGUAACGCGUGGAUAUCUGCCUUUUGGUUCGGAAUAACCCCGGGAAACUGGGGCUAAUACCGGAUGGUUCCUACGGGAUAAAGAUUUAUCGCCAAAAGAUGAGUCCGCGUACGAUUAGCUAGUUGGUGAGGUAAUGGCUCACCAAGGCGACGAUCGUUAGCUGGUCUGAGAGGACGAUCAGCCACACUGGGACUGAGACACGGCCCAGACUCCUACGGGAGGCAGCAGUGGGGAAUAUUGGACAAUGGGGGCAACCCUGAUCCAGCCAUGCCGCGUGAGUGAUGAAGGCCUUCGGGUUGUAAAGCUCUUUUGGCGGGACGAUGAUGACGGUACCGCAGAUAAGCCCCGGCUAACUUCGCGCCAGCAGCCGC
rnacentral:rRNA from 1 species